rnacentral:lncRNA from 10 species
GCGCGCUUUCCCGGCUGCGCGCCCGCCCGGUCACGCGCCCUGCUCACCGCGCGCUCGCGUGGGGGCGUCCCCUCUGGCCCCGCGCACGCGCGCUACGUCCCUCAGACUGGCUGCCCCCGAGGGUUCGCCCCCAAAUCCUGUCAGUCCACGGCCUUGAUGGAGCGGCCCCCGUGGGACGACCCUGUUGAUUGUGCUAGCGGAUGUUGUCUCCAUUCUGGAUCUGGGAAAAACUGUGGAGUGAAAGCCGGACCUGUUAGGGUUGGGACCUGAAAGCGGACUUUUUCGCUCUCAGACGGGCCCCAGGAAUUUCAUGUUUAACAGAGGUGUCUUCAAGGAGAUGAAACAAUUCAGAAUGACCUAGGCAAUGGGGUAAUUCCUAAGGUCAAGAUAUUGGUUACCUAUGAGGGGGUGAUGCCUGGAGGAAGACCUAAGGGGAGGUCUUCUGGAUACUGAGUGCAUGGACCCCACCACCGUGCCCUGAGGAAGCCCAAACAACCCAUGGAGACAUCCGCAUGGAGAGACCUGUGCCCUCAGUCCUGGUUGAACUCCCAGCUGACAGUCAAUGUCAACUUGCCAGCCAUAUGAGUGAACCAUACUGAAGUUCAUCAUCCAUCCCUGAGUAAAGCUACGUGAGCUGACACCAUGUGGAGAAGAAACAAGCAUUCUUACUGAGCCCCGCCCAAAUUGCCGAUUCAUGAACUAAAAAAAAAGAUUGCUGUUCAUUUAAGCCACUAAAUUUUAGGAAUGUUUAGUAAGCAGCAAUCUAUAACUAGAACAAUGGUCAAUAAAUGAAAAUUUUACUUUAAGAAGGCAUACUAUAGCCACAUAACUUUGGGAAACUCUCUUGGUUAAAGUUUUAAAAAUUUCCCUUACUGCAGAGCUUUUAAUGGGCUAAUGUGUUUCAUGUUCCCUCACAAGAGUAUCCAGUGUUUCUCAAACAUUUUUAACCACAGAAUCUGUAUUGUAAAGUGCCAUCUUGCGAGAUUGGGGUUAACGGCCAG